ensembl:miRNA
CCAGAGCAGUCCUUCCAGGCUCAGGACAGCCACUGCCCACAGCACACUGUGUUGCUUCGGACCCACUGUGCGUGUGACAGCGGCUGAUCUGUCCCUGGGCAGCGCGAAAC